UUAAGUUGGGCACUCUAAGUUGACUGCCGGUGACAAACCGGAGGAAGGUGGGGAUGACGUCAAAUCAUCAUGCCCCUUAUGAUUUGGGCUACACACGUGCUACAAUGGACAAUACAAAGGGCAGCGAAACCGCGAGGUCAAGCAAAUCCCAUAAAGUUGUUCUCAGUUCGGAUUGUAGUCUGCAACUCGACUACAUGAAGCUGGAAUCGCUAGUAAUCGUAGAUCAG
rnacentral:rRNA from 1 species